GACAGAGGGUGCAAACGUUGUUCGGAUUUACUGGGCGUAGAGCGCGUGUAGGCGGCUUGGCAAGUUGAAUGUGAAAGCCCACGGCUCAACCGUGGAAGCGCAUCCAAAACUGCUUCGCUUGAGUCUCGGAGAGGAAGGUGGAAUGCUUGGUGUAGAGGUGAAAUUCGUAGAUAUCAAGCAGAACACCUGCGGCGAAGGCGGCCUUCUGGACGAUGACUGACGCUGAGACGCGAAAGCGUGGGGAGCAAACAGG
rnacentral:rRNA from 1 species